rnacentral:rRNA from 1 species
AGAAUCAACACUGGCGGCGUGCCUCAGACAUGCAAGUCGAACGAUUAAACUUUCCUUCGGGAAAGAUAUAAAGUGGCGCACGGGUGAGUAACACGUAAGUAAUCUACCUUUGAGUGGGGAAUAACCCGGGGAAACCCGAGCUAAUACCGCAUAAUGCAGCGGCACCGCAAGGUGACAGUUGUUAAAGGAGCAAUCCGCUUAAAGAGGAGCUUGCGGCAGAUUAGCUAGUUGGUAAGGUAAUGGCUUACCAAGGCUACGAUCUGUAACCGGUCUAAGAGGACGGUCGGUCACACUGACACUGAAUAACGGGCCAGACUCCUACGGGAGGCAGCAGUCGGGAAUUUGGGCAAGUGGGCGAAAGCCUGACCAGCAACGCCGCGUGAAGGAUGAAGUAGUUUCGGUAUAGUAAACUUACGAAAGAAGUAGGAAAGAAUACAAUAGAACGGUACCAUUUAUAAGGUCCGACUAACUACGUGCCAGCACGCCGAC